rnacentral:misc_RNA from 1 species
UUAGAAGUGAAUUUACCUGGGCAUGAACUGAAGAUCAAAAAUUAAUACAGAUAUGUACAAGCAUUUUUUUUAUGUUUUUGGUAAGCUAUUUGGCUAAGUGUAUGAUUUCAGAAUUAAAUCUCCCAAGCUGGGCAAACCUUGCGAGUUAUUAUUGGAAUUAUGGCAGAAAUAUAACAAAGAGGAUUCUCAACUAGUCAUCUCAAAGAAGUUAGGAUAAAUGGCUUAUUAGAUACUAUUACAUCAAUUAACAAAACUCCUUGCGAGAAGUAUGACUGGCCAGUAACUGAAAGCCAAACAAUUGGGUGGUUUAGUAAACCUCUUGUGGACCUCGAUAGGACAGAUAGGCGUUUGUAUUUCCCAAAAAUAAAUUCAGAAGUGACAAAAUUUAUGGAGGCAGCCUGGAGACUGAAG